rnacentral:rRNA from 1 species
UUAUGACCUCAGUUCAGACAAGGCUACCCGCCGAAUUUAAGCAUAUUACUAAGCGGAGGAAAAGAAACUAACAAGGAUUCCCCUAGUAACGGCGAGCGAACCGGGAAGAGCCCAACUUGAAAAUCUAAGGGUUGUACCUUUCGAAUUGUAGUCUAGAGACGCGUUCUCUGCGGCGGAUCGGCUCCAAGUUCCCUGGAAAGGGACGUCAGAGAGGGUGAGAACCCCGUCGAAGCCGGUUUCAAUCGCUCCACGAGGCGCAGUCGAGGAGUCGGGUUGUUUGGGAAUGCAGCCCUAAGCAGGUGGUAAAUUCCAUCUAAGGCUAAAUAUUGGCGAGAGACCGAUAGCGAACAAGUACCGCGAGGGAAAGAUGAAAAGACCUUUGAAAAGAGAGUUAAAAAGUACCUGAAAUUGUUGAGGGGGAAGCGAUUCAAACCUGUGGGUGCUCCCGGGGCAGUAGCAAUACACGCGCUCGGGGCUGGUCAACGUGGGUUAGCUUGGAAGGAUAUCACUUCCGAGUUGACCGAGGACUCGACGUUGGCGGAAAGGUUUGCAUUGACCCGUCUAGAAACACGGACCAAGGAGUCUAA